AUACGUAGGAGGCGAGCGUUGUCCGGAAUUACUGGGUGUAAAGGGCGUGUAGGCGGGGAGACAAGUCAGAUGUGAAAUACCGAGGCUUAACUUCGGGGCUGCAUCUGAAACUGUUUUUCUUGAGUGUCGGAGAGGAAAGUGGAAUUCCUAGUGGAGCGGUGAAAUGCGUAGAUAUUAGGAGGAACACCAGUGGCGAAGGCGGCUUUCUGGACGACAACUGACGCUGAGGCGCGAAAGCGUGGGGAGCAAACAGGAUUAGAUACCCUGGUAGUCCACGCCGUAAACGAUGGAUACUAGGUGUAGGAGGUAUCGACCCCUUCUGUGCCGGAGUUAACACAAUAAGUAUCCCACCUGGGGAGUACGGCCGCAAGGUUGAAACUCAAAUGAAUUGACGGGG
rnacentral:rRNA from 1 species